CGACGGCGGGCCGGAAAAUCCCGGCGGGGCGGCGGCGCUGCCCGCCCUUUCUGCCGCCAGCUUUGCAAGGCAAUUGUGAAGCACUCAGCAGAGAUCUGCCCGGGAGGAAAAGCAGAGCCAAUCUCUGAGAAGAAGGGACGUGCGAGCUCUGGCGAGGAUGGCUGCUCCCCCUGGCCUUGGUGUGGGACCUCCUGAGCUGCCAUUCCUGUGGUGGGAGUGUUCCUCCUCUCCUCCGGCCAAGCCAGAGACCGCCUAGGGAAGGAGCAGGGCAGGACAGCGUUCAGACUGAAAGUGUAAGAAGAUGUGGAGGGAGACAGAGAAUCUGACAGGAGCACCGGACUCACAAGUGCACGAAUUUUGCUUUUGGCUUGGAUUGAAACUCAGAAGUUGUAAGGAAUUUGGGAAGGAGAAGGGACAUUUCAGAAGGAGAAGAAGAAAAAGAAGUUGUUGUUGUUGUUACAGCCCUGGCAAAAUCUUUGGUUCUAGCUAAUAAAGGAAGUUAGUUGAAAUAAAAAAAAAGAAAAAAACGUGGGUUUUUUUUUUUUCCUUCGCUGUUGUAUUCGUUGGUGGUUCGUUAUAUGGUGUGUUGUUUUAUUUCUUGGUCUUAUUACCUCUGUGUAAAUAGUUUUUUUGA